rnacentral:lncRNA from 1 species
GCGAUUUUGUUGCAGCUAGAGAGGAGGGUUUCCUGCUGGCUCGUCGCGGCUGGAGAAGAGGGCUUCCUGCGGCUGCAGAAGAGAACUGGAGAUGGACAAGAUAGGGACUGCGAUGACCAAAUUGCCGAUACUUCUUUCUUGCGUCGGUAGCUAAGAGUCAGGAAAAACUUUUUUUGCUGUAGUGGCAGCAGCAGCGGCAGAAAAACCCUUCUCCGCUAACUCCAUACCUUGCCUUCAUUCAUAAAUUAAAGCAACAAGUCCGAACUCGACCCGAAUCCGGACCUAGACUCGAACCGAACCCGAUUCGAUCUUCAAUUGGGUCAGAUCUAGGUCCAAAAUUAAGACCCGAAUAAGAAACUUGGUCGGAUCGAGGUCACUCACGAUCCGACCCGAUCCGACCCAUUUGCA